AGCGAACGCUGGCGGCAGGCUUAACACAUGCAAGUCGAGCGCUCGUAGCAAUACGGGAGCGGCAGACGGGUGAGUAACACGUGGGAACGUACCUUUUGGUUCGGAACAACACAGGGAAACUUGUGCUAAUACCGGAUAAGCCCUUACGGGGAAAGAUUUAUCGCCAAAAAGAUCGGCCCGCGUCUGAUUAGCUUGUUGGUGAGGUAACGGCUCACCAAGGCGACGAUCAGUAGCUGGUCGAGAGGAUGAUCAGCCACAUUGGGACUGAGACACGGCCCAAACUCCUACGGGAGGCAGCAGUGGGGAAUAUUGGACAAUGGGCGCAAG
rnacentral:rRNA from 1 species